rnacentral:lncRNA from 1 species
GUCAGCACACGCUCAGCUUCCUGGCUGCCAGGCGCCGUCCUGUGCACCUUACAGGAAACCGCUGGCUGAAUCUUCACGUCAGGUGUACCUGACUGACGGCUUCCUUAGUCACACGUUACAGAGAAGGAAACUGAGGGAAGUUAACAGAGGCCUGUUUGGAAAAGCGGGAAAUUGCAGGGUCUCCUCUGAGAAGCCCAUUUCGAACCCACCUUUCCAGCUACCCAUCACCUUUGCUGGGCUCUCACUGUUCCCCACAUGUUUCCAUGGCAACCUAUGUACCAACAACACAUCAGCUCCAAAUUGCCUUCCGCUUUGUCUCCCAAGGCCAGGGUUUGCAGCUCACUCUAGCUAAAACGGCUCUGCAAGGUUCAACCCUCUCAUCUGAGAUCCCUGUACACAAGCCUCGCAAUUUGGAGGUUUGGAGAAUUCUGUAUUGUUUUUGUUAUGU